rnacentral:rRNA from 1 species
AACGAACGCUGGCGGCAUGCCUAACACAUGCAAGUCGAACGAGACCUUCGGGUCUAGUGGCGCACGGGUGCGUAACGCGUGGGAACCUGCCCUUAGGUUCGGAAUAACUCCCCGAAAGGGGUGCUAAUACCGGAUAAUGUCUUCGGACCAAAGAUUUAUCGCCUUUGGAUGGGCCCGCGUUGGAUUAGCUAGUUGGUAGGGUAAAAGCCUACCAAGGCGACGAUCCAUAGCUGGUUUGAGAGGAUGAUCAGCCACACUGGGACUGAGACACGGCCCAGACUCUUACGGGAGGCAGCAGUGCGGAAUAUUGGACUAUGGGCGAAAGCCUGAUCCAGCAAUGCCGCGUGAGUGAUGAAGGCCUUAGGGUUGUAAAGCUCUUUUACCCGGGAUGAUAAUGACAGUACCGGGAGAAUAAGCUCCGGCUAACUCCGUG